UACGUAGGGUGCGAGCGUUGUCCGGAAUUAUUGGGCGUAAAGGGCUCGUAGGCGGUUUGUCGCGUCGGGAGUGAAAACCAUGAGCUUAACUCAUGGCUUGCUUUCGAUACGGGCAGACUAGAGGUAUGCAGGGGAGAACGGAAUUCCUGGUGUAGCGGUGAAAUGCGCAGAUAUCAGGAGGAACACCGGUGGCGAAGGCGGUUCUCUGGGCAUUACCUGACGCUGAGGAGCGAAAGUGUGGGGAGCGAACAGG
rnacentral:rRNA from 1 species